UUUCAAACUAUUGAGUUAAAAAUUCCACAUGUAGAAGAGGUUCAAGAAAAGUGACCAGUCCAGAAUUUUUAGUAAAAAUUUCAAGGGUGGCAGGACUUUGUUUUACCAAAUAGUGAAAUUCGAUAGGAAAAUCAUAUGAUCAAAUAUUUUAAGAAAAAAGUUUUUUUCACAAUAAAUUUUGCAAUUACUAUGCUUGGGGUGGCCACUUUGCUCCACUCUCCUCUAUUAUUAUGAUUAUUAUCAUAAUGACUAUUAUCAGUAUAGAACGAAUAGAAACGGUCGAGAUAUUUAUUUUUGAGGGAAUAAAGAUCUUUACCAUUAAAUAAACUUUUGUGUAUCGUUUAUGUAUAGGAGAGACCGGGGCACGACGGAAUACCGAAAAAAAUUACUAAAAUAAUGAAUUUCAUUAUUAUCGAUAAUUUAUCAUUUAUUUCACGGUUACUGUAAAUUUUUGAGUGAUACAAAGAACUAAGGGUAAAACGGGGCAACUAAAACAUAAAUGAAAAUAAAAAAAAAAUGUAUCAUGCUUCGGAUUGAAAAUAAUUAUUAAUUAUUAUUGACUUCUUAAUCAUUAGUGAAAUGGAAAUAUGAACUGUAAUUAAAACUUUAGGCAACCUGUCGUACCCCGGAAAAAAAUUUUAUACAUGAAUAUAUAUAAUAUUUUGUCAUACCUCGAUGGUGACUUGAUGAGCAGAAGCGCACUGCAAAAAUUGUUGUGAACAUUUUACCGAAAAGUAAUACAGAAAACUGACAGAAGCUGAGCUACCAAAAGGAAUAUGAGAAGAUAUAUAUGCAAUAGCACAUAAUGAAAAUGUAUUAAAAAUGUAAUGAACAAAAACAGCUUUUGUAAAUAUAAAUUGAUGUGCAGAAAAAUUCAGUCAAGAGGAGUUAAUUAAUUCACGAGUUCAAAGUUAAUUACCGUUAUUCUGGAGGAAAAAAAGACUUUGCAGUUUUUUUUAAAACAGAAGGAGAGCUUUGGUUAUUUAGGAAAUGAGGAAAAACGUAUGGGAUUUAGAUUUCUACUGGUUUGUUCAAAACGCUGUAAGCCUAUAGUAUAGAAGUUUGCACAUUAGAAUUUGGCUGAUUAUUUAUAAAUUACGGAAAAUUGAAGUGCAAAAAAAUUUAGUCAAGAGGAGUUAAUUAAUUCACGAGUUCAAAGUCAAUUACCGUUAUUCUGGAGGAAAAAAAAGAUUUUUCAGUUUUUUUUUCAAACAGAAGGAGAGCUUUGGUUAUUUAGGAAAUGAGGAAAAACGUAUGGGAUUUAGAUUUCUACUGAAAAUUGAUGUGCAAAAAAAGUUACUCAAGAGGAGUUAAUUGAUUCACGUGUUCGAAGUUAAUUACCGUUAUUCUGGAGGAAAAAAAAGAUUUUUCAGUUUUUUUUCAAACAGAAGGAGAGCUUUGGUUAUUUAGUAAAUGAGGAAAAAAGUAUGGGAUUUAUAUUUCUACUAGUUUGGACAAAACACUUUAAGCUACGGUAUAAAAGUUUGCAUACUAGAAUUUGGCUGAUUAUUUAGAAAGUACUGAACGAAAAAAAGUUGAUUUCUUAAUGACAAUUCAUGGAUUUUAAAGGAAAAUAUUUCGAACCGUCUAGAAAAAUUUUACGAAUUGUCGGUAUGAUUAACCAUAAGAUAGCAAAAUGACGUCUUGAUGAGUUCUGAAUGAAUUCCUAUUUAUGAUUUGGACGUCUCAUCAACAUCUUAAAGAAGUCUUUAAGAAGUUCUCAAGAUGUCGAAUGAGCCACCUAGCGAACUCAGUAAGACGUCUCUUUAAAAAGAGUUCUCAAAGAGUUAUUUUUUCUGACUUCGCAAAUAAGACUUCAGUAUGAAUUUACCAUGACAUUUUUAAGGAGCUCCUAAUUUUGACUUCAUAAAGAAGAAUACAUUUAGUCGACAAAAAACUGACGUCUUAUUUAUGGAGUCUUCAAGAACUCUUAAUUAAGAGUUCUUAAAAAUGACACCUUUAAGAAAUCAUUAUAAGACCUCUUGAGGACGCCUUCUAAAACACCAAGUAAAGCAGUUAUUCCGACUUGAAUGCUGUCUGGGUUAGCAUGCAGAAUAUAAAGCAAACUUAUUUAUUUAAUGAAAACUAUAGCUGCCCAAUUUCAAAACCUAGAUCAUGCUGCAUCUGGGGUUGAUUGACAUCCAAAUGUGUAAUUAAAUUAUGCAUUUUAAUGAUGAUUUUAAUUUAUUGGCAUUAAAUUUGAAUAUUUCGCUAAAUAUAUCAUUGCUCUCGAUUGAAAAAAAGGGGAGCAAUUUAAUGACAGCGAUCAAUAUUAAUAAUAAAAUUUAUUCAUUGAGUUAUACACAAAAUUAGUUUUGUAUUUUUAAUUGAUGAUAAUUAAUUAAAUAUUAAUGUUAUGACUGGAGCAAUUGUGGAUUCUGAAAGCGCAUUUUGAGAGCAAUUUUUUGGUCUAUUAUUCAUUAAAAAAUAUUAAAUUUCCGCGCCAACUUAGUAGUGGUAUCCAAAUGUCACCCACUUGACUAGCACCCAGGACACUUUGUUUUAUUUGUCACUUGGCUGAAGAAGAGACAGCGGACGAUUUUUUGGCCCGCUGCCCACAUUACCAACCACUUCGUCAAAAAUAUCUAGCACCCCUGGACUUCGACCUCAAUCCUACGCGCAUACUUUCUCUAGACACAGCUAAAAGCACUACGAUGCUUGCUAAAUUUACCUUUGAAAGUUUAAAACUUAGAGCUUGUUUAACUGAAGCUUGACUACUACCUGCUAGUAAAACUUCCCCCUGUCCUCGAGCGUAUUGCCUGCUUGCAGGCGACAUGUAUUUUUACUAUUCCAAAAUAUUAUCUAUGUAAAACAAGAUAUUGUCAUAAGUCUUGUAUUUAAGUUUAUAUUACUGCCUUUCGAUAGGAAAAGCAUUACAAAUUACCUUUGUAUAUUUUCCUCAACUCCUUUAAGAAUAAUAAUAAUAAUAAUAAUAAUAAUAAUAAUAAUAAUUUUUCAGUAAAUUCACCAUAAAAUGAAAUGAUACUAGGCUAUAUAAAGCAUUUAGAAUUUUUCUUAAAUAUGACAGCAAACUUGGAAUACUUGCUCGAACAUCAUCAUAUAAAAAAAUUCAUCGUCAAUCAAAAUAGAAUCUUUCUCUUCCAAAAAUUUUUUUAAAUUUUUCAUUCAAUUUUUUUCCAAAUUUUUUUCUUUUCUUUUUUUAAUUUUGUUCGUUUUAACAUCAUUUAUACGGUCUAAAGUAGAAUAUACUUGCAUCAACUUUACUGAUGAGCCCAGCAAGUAUAUUCGGGGCGAAACCGUUUUAAAAAUAAUAAAUUCAGGACUUUGAUUUUAUUCAAUAAAUGUAUUUUAUUACAGUGCGUACUAAUAAUAUUAGUCCACAUGUAUUUAUUAAUACGAUGAAUCUAAUCUGAAAAGUCAAUAAACAAGACCAGGAAAGCCGUGAUUCCUUUAACAAAAAAUAAAAAGAACUGGUCGUUUCAGUAAAUUCACCAUCAAAUAAAAUAAUAAUAAUAAUAAUAAUAUGACUUUAUAAACUUCAACUUAAUUUUAAACUUUUAUUCAAUUUUCAGAAAUCGAUUAAUUUAUAAACGAACGGAUUCGCAGAUGUCAGGUGAAUAUUUAAAACUUCUUUUUAUACAAUGUAACUUUUUUACAAGUACUUUGAAUCGUUUGUUAUAAAACUAUAACUAUUGAUUGAAUAAUAUACUGCGUCAACUUGUUUUUAUAUUCCUCAAUUUUAUUCAAAUCUUAUUAUUUUAUUUUUACAAUGUACAGGUUUUAUUUUAUGAUACUGAGUCAGCCGACGUCCAAUAAUUUUUGGAUUUUUUUUAAACAAUAAAUUAUAAAAAAAAAAUAUUUAAAAAAAUUGCACCAGUAGUUUUUUUAAUUUUCUACAUCUGCAUAUUUUUAUUUUUAUUUUUUUUUUAAAUUAAUUGUUCAAAAUAAAAUCUAAAAAUUUUUAAUUGUCUGCUAACUUUAGGAUCAAUUUAUUUUAUGACACUGAGUCAGCCGACGUCCAAUAAUUUUUGGAUUUUUUUUAAACAAUAAAUUAUGAAAAAAAAAAUAUUUUAAAAAAUUGCACCUAUAGUUUUUUCAAUUUUCUACAUGUGCAUAUUUUUAUUAAUAUUUUUUUUUUAAAUUAAGUCGUUGAAAAAAAAAUUCGAAAAUUUUUAACUGCCUGCUAAUUUUGCAAUCAUUUCAUU